UUACUGGGAUGCUUUUGCUUGUCUGUCCUUGGCUUCAACAUCAGCUCAAUGUUUUCAGAAACAAAGAGUAUGUAACCACUGAGAGCAUCCUCCACGUGAAUUAAGAAUGAGAGCUACCAAACCGCUGCCCUGGGAGAGCAGGGAGAGUGCCAACAUCACAGAACUGCUUGGAUUUUGAUAGUACUGUUGAGGAAUGUGUACCUAUAGAGAUUGCAUCAAUGGUACCUACAUUACUGCAGGCAAACAAAAUGUGUGUCUUCAUUAGAAGAGUCUGGCUGUAAUGAAAAAGCUGGUGGGGGGGAGGAGAGGAGAUGGUUUGCUUUAUGAGCUGGGAUGCCAGUUUUGCAAGGAUAGGAUGCCAGCUACCAUUCAGUUUGUUCUUGGAAGACAUUCAGUGAACUGCUGGUUGCUUGGAGGGAGACUGAAACACACUGUAGUGUCAGUUCUGAAAUCCAAAACGCUUCCACUUUUCCUCUUCUAUUUAGUGCUUCGGCAUGCGAAAUUGGACACUGGUGAACUGAGAUGAAUUGGUUCAGUGGUUCCACUCACCAUUCCCAUGGCUGUAACCCUUAUCUGUGGCUAAGCAGAUUCUGCUUGUGAAAAGGCCUGAGAC